ACAGAGAGACCAGAGCUGUGGACCUGGGAAACACUAUGACCCGGAGCUCAAGCAAGAAGAACUUCCUUGUAAAGAGGACAGCUUUCCCACAGCUUUAACAGAGUACAAAACAUUCACAAGUGGAUGUAGAGAUUCAGAAGAUAUUUCCAGGGCAAGUCAGAAAGCCCCUUGCUGUGAACUAGUGGUUCAAGCUCUGAAGAUGAUGUCAUGAGCCCCGAGAGAACGACGAAGCUGAAGGUGAACAGAGAUCCCUAGACCGCGAGCAGGGCGGAAGGCCAGGGGCCGCGCGCGCGCUCGCUGCUUCUCACAAUGCAGACGCUGGACACAAGGGCCUUGCAUCCUGCAACAGAGAAGGUAUUGUCCAGAGACAUUCAGGAAGAAAAAUGGUCAAAUGAGGGUGAGCAGAGACUUGCAGAGCCUUGUGGAUCAAAG